UUUUUUUUUUUCUUUUUAAGCUGUCAAAGGUCCUUCUGGCUUCAUUCAGCACCUGAAGUUGAUCACUGACUCCUCUUUACGAAGGUUGCCCCACAGAGGCUCUGUGGCUGUACCCUUCUAGGAAGGGUGGCCUUAUGUCAUCGAAAGACUCCCAGCUGUGCUACACAGGCUCAACGUGAUCUACUAAACUGCUUACUUCUCUGAAUCUAUUUCCUCAUCAAUGAAAUGGGCUUGAUAAAACUAAUCCAAGGCAUCUUCAAGAGUUAAGUGAGAUUGGAUAUGAAUCACAUCCAUUGUGAUGCCCUGCACAUUGGCAUGUCUCCAACAAAAGCUGGUUUCCUACCUGCUGCAUCUUCUCUCACACGCUGACUACCAGAGGGAUGCAUAGCAUUUCUCUGCUGGAUUUUUGUGUAUUUUGGGAAAUAAGGGCUCCCUAAAGGAAAGUCCCCUUCCUCAGGGUGACUGCAGUGACAUGGAUGGAUUUCCCUUUAUCUGGGCCCCUUCUUCUGAACCCCGUGUCUCUGUAAAGUUGGGUUUGGGGGACAGGUGCCCAGCUUCCUGAGGCACAUGUGUGUGGGUACGCAUAGUCCUGUAUUAUGGUGAUAGCCUUUGAAUCCAGGUGGCAGUGUUGGGCUUGGGAUUCAGGAAAAGGCAGAUGGGUGAAGGCACCAUGUAAGCAGUGCUCUGUAUGCAUGCAGUUCUGCUGAGCAGAGGAGGAACAAUGGAUACAUGUGGAGGCUUGGAGUGAUUCAGUGCCAGUAGGCUGGUGAGCAGAUUACAUUCUUGUUUAAAUAGCCAAUGGCCUGGUCCCAAAUGCUUGGAAUUCUGAGUAGCCUAGAUGCUAAGUAGAAGGCCGCAUUUAUCCUUUCAUGUUCACUGACUUUCCAUGAAGUCUGUGGCUGAUUUUCUUCGGGAUCAAAGAAGGCUUUGACUUCUUGAAUAAAUUGUAGCAAGUCUGUCUGACAGAUGCAUUAAGACAUGCUGUAGAAACAAGCAAUUCCAGGCAGCCAGUUCAAGAAGGAAUGUCUGGUGGUAGUACCUAGUGGGUAUCUAGUUAGGAUGGCAAAACUCUGCAGAAGAAAGUAUGACUCCGUGUGUCUGCUGCUGCUUUUCUGUACCACCAAGUCUAAACCAGUUUAUUUAACAUAGUAAAUGCUAACUAAACAUUUAAUGAUUGAAGCGAUGGGUUAAUGCCAGAAGAAACAAACUGAGAGUGUCAGGAAGGAGUUAAAAAUGAGCUAGAAGGACUGAUCAGCAACAAGGUUUUCCUGUGCAGGAGGCCUGAGGGGACAAGAGGGUGUUCUGGAUCAAACUGAAAGAAGCGACUCAGACCUAGAGGAACAAGUCAGAGGCUCGAUGACUAAAACCGGGGUAAAAGACUGAAUCUUACAUGUAACAUAUUGGGCAUGAUCAUAGUUACUGGAACCUAAGAACAGCCUCAGAAUAGAUUCAGAAUUGAGUCAUUUCUUACUUGGUUCUUGCUAAAUAUUAGGCAAUAAUGUUGUAUACAUUUAAAAUAAAGUCAAUGAUUUUAUAUGCAAAGUAGUUUAUAUUCUAAGUUUUAAAUUCAGAUGCACUAAAGUAGAAACUUAUUAUUAUUUUUUGAUUUAAAAUAGCAUGUAAAGUAGCUCUUGAUUACAAAGGGCUGUUCUGAGGGCAUGAUGUGUAUUCAUGCAUUUAAUCUUCGCAACUUUACACAGAAAUUUCCAUUAUUAUCCCAUGUUACAGAUGAGAAAACUGAGGCCAAGAGAGUUUAAAUAGCAUUUUAAAGGUAAGUGACUAAGAUGAGGUUCAAAUCUAUGAAGAUGGGUUGCUUAGUCCACCCUUGUG
rnacentral:lncRNA from 1 species